GAGCUGCGGCCGGAGGCGGCAGAAUCUCGAUGACCGGAAUCGUCUUUCCAAAGAGCUUAAUCGCUGGGUCUCCUUUGGGUUCCGACAUUUCUACACCGUCACGGGGAGAGAGGAUAUUGGGGGGGCGGGGGGCGAGAGAGAGAGAGAGAGCUGGGGGCGCCACGUCAUUCGGCAAAUGCAACUCCAGCCACGAGUUGAGUUGUCUUUGUAGCCUUGGAAAAUUAUGUUCCGCUUUUCCUCUUUCUCUGCUUUUUGGCCUUUUUGAUUCUCCACAAAACAAAAGAGGAAACAAUACUCGAAA